GCCACAGCCAUAUCACCCUGCAGCCCAAGACUGGUUGCCCACUAAAGCUAAGCAGGGUUGAGCUUGGUCAGUACCUGGAUGGGAGACCUCCUGGGAAAACUAGAUUGCUGUUGGCA
rnacentral:rRNA from 1 species